GAUGAAGAACGCAGCAAAAUGCGAUAAGUAAUGUGAAUUGCAGAAUUCAGUGAAUCAUCGAAUCUUUGAACGCACAUUGCGCCCGCCAGUAUUCUGGCGGGCAUGCCUGUUCGAGCGUCAUUUCAACCCUCAAGCCCUCGGGUUGGUGUUGGGGAUCGGCGAGCCUUUCUGGCAAGCCGGCCCCGAAAUCUAGUGGCGGUCUCGCUGCAGCCUCCAUUGCGUAGUAGUAAAACCCUCGCAACUGGAACGCGGCGCGACCAAGCCGUUAAACCCCCAACUUCUGAAUGUUGACCUCGGAUCAGGUAGGAAUACCCGCUGAACUUAAGCAUAUCAAUAAGCGGAGGA
rnacentral:misc_RNA from 1 species